rnacentral:hammerhead_ribozyme from 1 species
AUUCAACUGACGAGUCCAAAAAUAGGACGAAACGCGUGUCCUGCAU